GCGAAAAGAACCCCUGUGAGGGGAGUGAAAUAGAUCCUGAAACCGCAUGCAUACAAGCAGUGGGAGCACCUUCGUGGUGUGACUGCGUACCUUUUGUAUAAUGGGUCAGCGACUUAUAUUCAGUAGCGAGGUUAACCGUAUAGGGGAGCCGUAGAGAAAUCGAGUCUUAAUAGGGCGUUUAGUUGCUGGGUAUAGACCCGAAACCAGGCGAUCUAUCCAUGAGCAGGUUGAAGGUUGGGUAACACUAACUGGAGGACCGAACCCACUGUCGUUGAAAAGCCAGGGGAUGACUUGUGGAUAGGGGUGAAAGGCUAAUCAAGCCUGGUGAUAGCUGGUUCUCCCCGAAAGCUAUUUAGGUAGCGCCUCGGACGAAUACCAUAGGGGGUAGAGCACUGUUUCGGCUAGGGGGUCAUCCCGACUUACCAAACCGAUGCAAACUCCGAAUACCUAUGAGUACUAUCCGGGAGACAGACUGCGGGUGCUAACGUCCGUAGUCAAGAGGAAAACAAUCCAGACCGCCAGCUAAGGCCCCAAAAUCAUAGUUAAGUGGGAAACGAUGUGGGAAGGCAUAGACAGCUAGGAGGUUGGCUUAGAAGCAGCCACCCUUUAAAGAAAGCGUAAUAGCUCACUAGUCGAGUCGGCCUGCGCGGAAGAUGUAACGGGGCUAAAACUAUGUGCCGAAGCUGCGGAUUUGACAUUAGUCAAGUGGUAGGGGAGCGUUCUGUAAGCCGAUGAAGGUGUAUUGAGAAGUAUGCUGGAGGUAUCAGAAGUGCGAAUGCUGACGUGAGUAACGACAAAACGGGUGAAAAACCCGUUCGCCGAAAGACCAAGGGUUCCAGUCCAACGUUAAUCGGGGCUGGGUGAGUCGACCCCUAAGG
rnacentral:rRNA from 1 species